UACGUAGGGGGCAAGCGUUGUCCGGAAUUAUUGGGCGUAAAGAGCUCGUAGGCGGUUUGUCGCGUCGAAUGUGAAAACCCGGGGCUCAACUCCGGGCCUGCAUUCGAUACGGGCAGACUAGAGUUCGGUAGGGGAGACUGGAAUUCCUGGUGUAGCGGUGAAAUGCGCAGAUAUCAGGAGGAACACCGGUGGCGAAGGCGGGUCUCUGGGCCGAUACUGACGCUGAGGAGCGAAAGCGUGGGGAGCGAACAGG
rnacentral:rRNA from 1 species